UUUUGUUCGAAAGUAGAUAGUUCUGAGGUGGUCCCAUUGUCACCAAGUUAGGAUCUGAUGAUGGGAUCUUAGAGAAAUCGAGGGAACUCCUCAAAUAUUUUAGGGAACUAUAUAGUGAUUUUGGUAUAUUCAUCUAGAAUUGAAGCAUUUACAGUCAAAAAGUAACCUUUGAAGAGGUGGAACUGAUGAAGAAGACCAGAAAUGGCCAAUGGAACUUCAUACUCACAUAGAAAUCACAAUAAAGUUAAUUAAGUGACUGUGACAAUACAAAUAAAUAAAGUAGUUAUUGAGAUAGAGAAUUUUAACCGACUUUUUUAGUUGCGAUACUGAGUAUCGCAACUAAAAAGUGUGAAAUAAAAUACUUUUUACAAAAAAAUAAACCGACUUCACUAAAAAAGUUAAAAAUAACUUUAAUUUCGGAAGUCGGUGUAACAAACAAAUAAUACCGAGAAACACCGACUU